ensembl:lncRNA
UGGGUCGCCCCCGUGCCAGACAUGUAGCUAAGGAGGGAACUGCCAACCUGACUAUUUUUGUAUUUAAAUGAAAGGAAAAAAAAAAAGAAAAGAAAAAAAAACCCCUAAAAACAAAACUUGCUGUUGACCGAACUCACAUUGCCGCGAUUUUAAGUUAUUGUUGCCAAAGAGAUGUAAAGAGUUUGUCGAGGCAUUUUGGGGGGGGGGGGAUUCUCACGGUUGUUUAUUCAUUUGUUUUUGUUUCUUUGUUGUUGUUUUUUUUGUUUUUUUGUUUUUUAAUUCAUUUGAGGCUUAGGAUAAGUGUGCAAUUCCAACUUCCAGAAGGAACUGGAACUAAGCGGAGCUGAGUGAAACCUUGAAAUCAGGGCUGUGUUUCCUUUGGGGGCCUAUAGACCAAACCCUGAGGUGCCACCAAGCCAGGAGGUGCAGCGAAGCCCCAGGAGCCCUGGGGCUGGCUGGAGCAGGGCUGCUGCCCACGGCGGCUGCCUCUGGCCCUUGUCCCGGCCCCAAAGCACCUGCGACCCCCCCGAACCGGCACAGCGCGACGGCCGGCGCCCACGGGACGGCUUCAGGCUCCCAGCGCUCUUGCAGCAGCUCCGGGCAGGUCCCCGCCGGGCGAGGGAGGUGGCUGCGGGGUCGACUUAAGUCAAGCGGCAGCUCAGGCAGGUCCCUGCCUGCUCCCUGGCUGCUGCCUCCGUCCGUGGGUGGCAGGAGUGGGCAAUUCCCGGCUCAGGGAUGCAGCCACGGUGCCGGGAGGAAGCAGGCGGCCGGCUGCAGCUCGGGGCCUCGGUGUGGCUCCGUCCCCGCAAGAGGAAGCAGCGGCACGGGGCCGAUGGAAACCAGCCCUUGCGUUAGCCGGCGUCCGAGCAGUCCCGGAGAAGGCGCUUUCCUCCAGGGAGCUGCGGAACCGGCGGAGGGGCUGCAGCAGCGAUCAGCAACUGAUUGGAGCUGGAAGCUACACGCUCCUUUACAGCAAAACACCGACAGCRAUCUACACACGCGGGGGCUCUUUGCUACUCAUCACAUGCUCCUGGGCUAAAGCUACUGUUAAAACAACCAGCAACCGACCGUUCCUCUGAGCUCUAGCAAUUAAAAAGUGCAAAAUGACAAAUAUAAUGAAAAAGGCAAAAAUGUUAAAGGGCAUUGCCAUCCCCCCAAAGCACGUUGCCAGCAGGUCCCUCACUGCCGCCUCAUCCUGCCAGCAAAGCCGGAGCUGGGCAGCUGCUCGCCCAGAAGAGCUGCAGCUCCUGCGCGGGAAGCCCUGCUCCCUCUUCCCAUUUCCGUAGCAGGUGCCUGGGGAGCGGGACCGCGUCCCGGGGCCCUGCCAGGGCUUGGGGCGGGCGGCAGGGGCUGAGAUGCUCCCACUCGUGCGGCAGCGGGAUCGCGGGGCCAGGCCCGGGAAGAGGCUCCGGCGGAGCCGGGCUGGCAGCGCGCGGGCGCCCUGGCAGCAGCCGGCACAAGCGCAGCGCAUGCAGCCACCACGGGCAGGACGGCAGCGAGCUGCGGCCCGGGAAAGGGGGUGCGCAAACACCUUCACCCCGGGAGCAGGAUCUGGAUCUGAGCAGGAGCCUKGCCAUGGAAUGCCCAUUGCCGCCAGGUCCGUCUCGGAGCCGAUGAUGGGGAUGGUGGGGGGGGGGGUUAACACUGCGGAGUGACCAGAGCUGCCACCUCCUAAAGUAUUUUUCUAGCUUAUAUUUUACAGCAGUACCAUAACACCCGACUAUAUACAGAGACCCAGCCGGUAGCUGGGCCGAGCCUUACAAAACCUCCGYGUCCACGUUUCCCUCCUGAGAGCAAGGCUCUGCCCCUUCCCGGGCGCCGCGACGCCAGCACCCGCGCCGGCAGGGUGCUGCAGACCCCGCAGCGCCCGACUUGCAGCGGCCGAGAAAACCAGCGGAGCAGCCAACGGCUCACAGCAGCGAUCGGGAGCCGGCGGAGGUUUUAUCACCCGCUUUGCUCGUAAGGAGCCUCGGGGCUUUCCGGCCGGCCGGUGGGCUCCCUCCYGGGCUGCAGCAAGGGGGGGACCAUCGUGGCAGCAC